GGCCCGAACACACAUGAAUCCGCUUCUGUCAUUUGCGAUAAUACACCACAGGUGAAAUGCAAAUUACUUGAGGAUUAUUAUCAAGUAGUUUGAAAAUCCAGCUUGUCACAUUUCAAAUUAUCUGAAGAAAUGCAGUUCUCAAUUUGAUCCUUCAUAAACUUGAGCAUGCAUGACAAGCAUAAAAAGAAUAAUAGUGCAUUUGCUCCAGCAUGUCGUU
rnacentral:lncRNA from 1 species